GGGGAAUAUUGCGCAAUGGGCGAAAGCCUGACGCAGCCAUGCCGCGUGUGUGAAGAAGGCCUUAGGGUUGUAAAGCACUUUUCAAUUGGGAGGAAAGGUUGCACGUUAAUAGCGUGUAGCUGUGACGUUACCU
rnacentral:rRNA from 1 species